CCUACGGGUGGCAGCAGUGAGGAAUAUUGGUCAAUGGACGAGAGUCUGAACCAGCCAAGCAGCGUGAAGGAUGACUGUCCUAUGGGUUGUAAACUUCUUUUAUAUGGGAAUAAAGUGUUCGACGCGUGGGAUUUUGUGUGUACCAUAUGAAUAAGGAUCGGCUAACUCCGUGCCAGCAGCCGCGGUAAUACGGAGGAUGCGAGCGUUAUCCGGAUUUAUUGGGUUUAAAGGGUGCGUAGGUGGAAUAUCAAGUCAGCGGUAAAAAUUUGGGGCUCAACCCAGUCGUGCCGUUGAAACUGGUGUUCUUGAGUGGGCGAGAGGUAUGCGGAAUGCGUGGUGUAGCGGUGAAAUGCAUAGAUAUCACGCAGAACUCCGAUUGCGAAGGCAGCAUACCAGCGCACAACUGACGCUGAAGCACGAAAGCGUGGGUAUCGAACAGGAUUAGAUACCCUAGUAGUC
rnacentral:rRNA from 1 species